ACGCUCGACACCUACGGGAGGCAGCAGUGAGGAAUAUUGGUCAAUGGGCGCAGGCCUGAACCAGCCAAGUAGCGUGAAGGAUGACUGCCCUAUGGGUUGUAAACUUCUUUUAUAUGGGAAUAAAGUUUUCCACGUGUGGAAUUUUGUAUGUACCAUAUGAAUAAGGAUCGGCUAACUCCGUGCCGGCAGCCGCGGUAAUCUGAGGCGGGCGUGGACGAAGGC
rnacentral:rRNA from 1 species